rnacentral:rRNA from 1 species
UACGGAGGAGGCAAGCGUUAUCCGGAAUUAUUGGGCGUAAAGCGCACGUAGGCGGCUUUGUAAGUCAGAGGUGAAAGCCUGGAGCUCAACUCCAGAACUGCCUUUGAGACUGCAUCGCUUGAAUCCAGGAGAGGUGAGUGGAAUUCCGAGUGUAGAGGUGAAAUUCGUAGAUAUUCGGAAGAACACCAGUGGCGAAGGCGGCUCACUGGACUGGUAUUGACGCUGAGGUGCGAAAGCGUGGGGAGCAAACAGG